rnacentral:lncRNA from 1 species
GCAGGAAUAUACUCGUUCAAAAAAAAUAAUAAACUACAGGAAUAUACUCAUGUAGGAGUAUGUUUGUAAUAGUACAAAAGAUAUAACAGUACAAGGUGAUGUAAGAUAGUGGCUUCAAGCCAUUUUUACAUAGUAAUUAAGAUUAAGGACUUGCAGUCUUGCAUCAUUUCUACUAGCUUAUAGUAGCUGAUUGACUCCUUAAGCUUACUCUCCAAGCGCGAAAGCGGCAGCAUCGAAGGUGUCAGACAGCCCGGUUCCCGUCUUGAAGGUGACCUUCUCCGGCGAGGCCUCGGUGACGUAGACCUCGACGACGCUGAGCCAGAGCAGUAGCUCCUUGGUCUUCACGCCGGCGAUCUUCUUCAGCUUCCCCUUCUCGACGAACGCCGUGACCUCACCGGCGUAGGAGACGGUCUGCUUGAUCUUCUUGAAGGUGUGCUCGAUCUUCUUCUUCCUCUGCACCAGCCACAUGAACCCAGUGUCCCGGUUGUAGCCGAACUCCUCGAUGUCCUCCAAUGGCAGGAGGCCCUUGGGGAGGCCAAGUUCUUCCAGCAGCUCAAUGGACUUGUUCCUGCAGAUGGCAUCUCCAUUGAUGAUCUCCGCGCCGGAGCGGUGGCUCUCAAUUUGAGAUGCCAUUGGAUAUGUAGUUUCAGGCCAAAAAAAAUGCUUUGGUUUGUAAAUGUGUUGGUGAGAGAUUGUUGGUGAUGGAAGAUGAGAUAGUGAGUUCUGUUUAUAUAGAGUUCUCAAUUGAACACCAGCCUUUUCUGACCAUGCAGUUGAUAACUGCAAAUUAUAAUUCUGAAGCACAAAAUCCCUGACCAAGUCCACUAAUUAUGUAGUGCAUACACUUCUUCAGCAUCCCAGCAUGCACUAUACAACCAGCCAAGGAUGACUGUUAUUCAUUCAGUUAUUUAUUUUUGGGAGGAACCAGGGAUGACUUAUCUGACCAAUUAAUUAGCACUGGUCUGGUCCAAUUCAUUUGGUUCAUGAUCAGUACUAGACACUAGUGCCAUAUCCCCUAGCACCACCAAUUCAAUGUUUCCAGAAAUAGCCAUAGGAUGAUAGGAACAAAAGGCAGAUCACAAAAUCAAAGUAAUAAUAUUGGCAGCUUCAAUCAGCAAUAGAAGGCAUCUUACUCCUGUGUAAUUAUAUAGAGCUCGAAUGGUAAACUAAUGCCAUGGAGUUCCUCAUGGCAGGCAGGCUAGUUUGAUCUACUCUCUUUAAGAACAUCAAAUUCAUAGAGCCAAAUCCAUUUUAGAAUAAUAUCAAAAUCAAUCAGCACCAGAAGGCAAAGUGCUCUGCUGUCAAUGCAAUUCAAUCUUACUCCUAUAUAAUUAUAUUGAGUGAUCUCAAAUGACAAAUUAAUGCCAUGGAGUUCCUCAUGGCAGGCAGGCUAGUGUCUACUCUAUUUAGGAACAUCAAGUUCAUGCUUUAAUGAGUCAUGCUGCCCAAUCCUUUUCAGGAUGAUACGGCCUAAAACCCCAGUUCUAUUAACUGAAACUUCUACAAAAGUUUAAAUAACAGAAAAUCCAGUCAAAUCUCACAGGUUUUUAUAUUCACGAUUUCUUCAAGUUAUUAUUCAGUUUACUUUUUACUAAACCAUGUGCUCCCCAAAAUAAAAAGAACACUAAGUCAGUAACCUCUGUAUUUUCACAGUCUGAACUACUAUAGGGUAGUAGGGUCAACCACUCAAACCUUGUCACUACUCAUCAGAGCAAGGAGCCAAUAACAAAGGAUUCAAUAUAUCGGUUCAAAGUGGGGCUUCCAAAUCAUGGAUUGAGUAUUACCUCAGAUAAGAAGAGAUGUAAACUUCAAAGAUAUAUAUGCAUGGUAACGAUCAUAAGCAGUUAAAUGAGAAGAAACAAAUGUUCACUGUGUGAGCCAUCCUUUCUCAGUUGCAUUACAAACUGAAAUCAAACAUCUUAUCUGAGCACGGUCACAUAGUACUCUCUUCUUACUUCAACUCCCCAUCUUAAAAGAUAAUAAGAGGACUAGCUCUGUAAGAUACCAGAAGCUUAAUGGAUGGGUCACUGCACUUCAGUCUUCAGCUGGUUCCUCCGGCCUCCAUAUAGCAAUAUCUGAAAAUACACAAUUAUAAAACUUAUAACCAUGAAAUAGCUCAACAUCAACAUCCAAAUGAGGCAUGCAAUUUUGGAGGUAGUGCAGUCCUGUUCUGGAAUGUAUACUUAAGAAAAAUAGUAGAAUUAGAAUAAGUCAUCAAGAUAUGCCUAAGCAAUCCAGCUAAUUUCAGGAACAUUUCGUAACAUGUCGAACCAAACAAAAAACAAGGUAAGAGAAACAGAAUUUAAUACUUUAUGUGAUAUUGAAUUUUUAUAAACUCAAUGUUGUUGAGCACAGAGCACAUAUAUGGCAACUCAUACUUUUUAAGUCGCUAUAACUGAAAACUAAAGCUUACAGUCAAAUAUCCAUAAUGGCGUAAUUUUAUACUUUUACGCUGCUAACUGAAAUAAUGCCUGGUCCGAUUUAAGGGAGGCUGUACAGGAUCUAGGCUAGUACCUGAAGUGUAAAAGCUCAUGUAGGGGACGACGGUAUAGUAGCCCUCCUCACACAGCUUCUUCACUUGGCCUGAUUUGAGCUCAAUUGUGAACACACCAAUCUCUGAUGAGAUGAAAAUGGUAUGCACGCCUUCGGCGAAACCGGCCAGUUCCCACGACAACGACGGGUUACCCACCGGAUUCAGAAAGUCCAACCCAAUUACCCAGGAUUUUUUCCAUUCCUCAAUGCCAUCAUCACCCACAUACCGCGACCACAGUAGGAUGCUGCAAUCUUCCACAGUAGCAAAUCCCAGCCCACCAUAUCCUGAUUCCAUGAGGAUGCCAACCUCAUGCCCCAAUGGGGGCGGGUCGAUCUCCGAGAGCUCAUGCCUGCCAAUGUCAUACCCCAGAAUUCUCUUGCCACGCUCACAUCUGAAGUAGAGCGUGUCUUGGACGAGGAGGCCAGGCAACAUCUCAACAUAGGAAUCGAACGCAAUGGAGGCCUGCGAGCUCCACUCUCCAGUCUCCGACGAGUACACGCACGCCCAUGAGUGGUCAUCCUCUCCUGUGCCCACGAAGACGACGAGGUAGGGGCCUCCAUGGCAGUCAACAUGGCGGCAGCCGCGUGUAGCGCACAGCACGGCCCCAGUGCAGUAGAAGUCCAGGUACGGGGGCUGAGGGAAGAUGCGGUGGUCGCCGGUGGUCGGGUCCCAGACCAUGAGGUCGAUGGGAUUGAAGAGUUGGAGGAGGAGGCGGCCAUGGCGGCAAUCGAGCGCCCACCAGUAGGUGGGGAACUCGAUGCUCGGUGGAGGGAAAUCGGGGUAGAAUGGAGAGGGGGAGGUGGUGGCGACGAAGCGGGGGAUGUAGGAGCUGUUGCUGCUGUGGUCAACGUUGUGGAUGAAGCCGAGCAUGGGAGGUGUUCGGUGGAAUGCGCGGUAGCGGCGGAGGAAGGCGGGAUCGGUGAGGAGUUGACGCCAGCGCUUGCAGACGAGGGAGGCGCGGACGAGGGACGCGGGAUCGUCCGGCGGGAUGUGGAGGAGGAUCUCGUAGGUCAUGUCGUCCACCAACUCCGGCGCCGCCGCCGCCAUGCUCGCCGUCGCCGUCGCCGUCGCCGGAGCGAGGGUUUGGGAAUUUGGAGUUGGGGUGGGGUCGAGAGGAAAGAAGGCGGUGGUGGACAAGACAACCGUCUCGAGUGGGGCCCACGAGUCGAUGAGAGUCGUGUACAAUCACAGCUGCUCAUAAUAUGCUCAAUUUUAUUUAUUUAUUUAUUGGCAGGGAUAAUAUGCUCAUAUCAGUUUGAGUACAAGGGUGAAGGGUCCUUUGUUUUUGUUUGUUUUGCACCUCGAACUCUGGCACCCAAAAGAAUUUUCAGCAAUUUAAACAGCAAUGACAAUGUGCACGUUAGUCCUUAGUCACUGUUUUUUUUCUUUUCUCUUUAUGAUGAAAGGGAACAAAUAUAUAUAGGACUAUACUCGAAUGUUUGUAAUACAAAAGAGAUAAUAGUAAGUACAUGGUGACCUAAGAUAGUGGCUUUAAUCCUUUUACACAGUUGAGAUUAUGGUCUUUCAUAAUUUCUACUCCCCGAGAGCAAAAGCAGUGGCAUCGAAGUUAUCAGAGAGCCCGGUUCCAGUCUUGAAGGUGACCUUCUCCGGCGAGGCCUCGGCGACGUACACCUCGACGACGCUGAGCCAGAGCAGCAGCUCCUUGGUCUUCACGCCGGUGAUCUUCUUCAGCUUCCCCUUCUCGACGAACGCCGUGACCUCGCCGGCGUAGGAAACGGUCUGCUUGAUCUUCUUGAAGGUGUGCUCGAUCUUCUUCUUCCUCUGCACCAUCCACAUGAAUCCAGUGUCCCUGUUGUAGCCGAACUCCUCGAUGUCCUCCAAUGGCAGGAGGCCCUUGGGGAGGCCAAGUUCUUCCAGCAGCUCAAUGGACUUCUUCCUGCAGAUGGCAUCUCCAUUGACGAUCUCCGCGCUGGCACGGUGGCUCUCAAUUUGAGAUGCCAUUGGGUAUGUAGUUUCAGGUGAAGAAGUUUUAGUUUGAAAUUUGGGUUGUGUGCAAAUGGGUUGUGAGAUUGUUGUGAUGGAAGAUGAGAUGUGGGGUUCUGUUUAUAUAGAAUUGUGAAAGUUUGUUCAUUCUGACAAGAUUUGUUCAGACUGUAGAGGCAAAGAUUAUGGACUUUGGAUUUCAAGUCGUGAAGAACAAAGCCUCGAGUCAUGCCACAACUGUACCCCAGCCUUUUCUGACCAUACCAUGCAUAUUCACUCUGACGUAGCACAAAGUUCCUGACCAAGUCCAUCCACUGAUGAAUACUACACACUUCAGCAUCUCAGCAAGCAAUGUUACACAGCACGGUUAUGGAUGUACGCUGGGCAGCCAGCCAGAGAUGACUUAUCUGACCAAUUAGCACUGGUCCGGUCCAAUUCGCUGGGCUCAUGAUCUAGCAUGAAUACUACUUCCCGUUCUUCGAAAACAAGCUAACAUUCAAGUUUCACACACUUUCAUACAACUUCAGUCCAUGUAAUUUUGCACAGUACAGGUUCGUAAAGUAUGCUCACUUUACAAGUACCAACUAAUACAAUUUCAAGAGAGAAAUUUUACAAACCUGCUAAGCCUAAGAUGAAUGCACAAGCGAGUCAAAGUAAUGCAAAUGAAUAGCUGUAAUUACAAGAUUUGGCUCUAUUCUGAUCACUUCCAAUAUUCUUGAAGUCUACCACCUUUAGUUCCAUGUAAGCUUUUGAUUCUCUCCUGGGAGAGCUCUCAUCUUCCCUUGCGAACUCUGAAUUUCUUGCUCUUCAACUCUUAACUUUCUGUCUUGAAAGAAGAUGCACGGCACAUACAAAGCGAGGCACUGACCCAUCAUGUGGCUGAUCACUUCUUCUUGUUACACUUGUUCGCCUCGAAGUAUCGCCCGCAAGUUACUGCAUCAGGAGGGAUGAUGCCUCCUUCCUGUCAAUCACCAUCGCAUAAACAGAUCAGAUGCGCCUAUGGCCAUUCCACCAUGGCUGUCCAUUGAAAGUCAACUGGUACAAGAGCACAUAGUAAACACUAGUAUUAGAAUGAACACGUAUAUUUUACACUACCAGCUAAACAGAAAACUACAUUGCAAUAAGUUCAGCUUUCACCCGGCGAAAAUAAGUUCAGCUUUCCAACCCUCCCAUCUAGAAUACUUGACCCAGGAAUUCUCACUACUACUCCGAUAGUUCAAAUUACUUCCCAGAUUUCAGCUUUAGAACUACCCACACACUAUGUUGACACGCCUACAUCAUAGUAAAAAACGAUGCUAAACCAACUGAUGUAACAUCAAAGAAUUCAUUGCGUGGGUCAAGCCGCUUACUCUUCCAUGCCUUGAUCCUCUUGACUGCCAGCCUACAUAAGGGAAAUUAAAAAAAAAAAAGGAGACACCACUGCUAACUUAGCAAUACAUAUUGAGAUAAAUAAUGCAUGUGUGUUCAAUCUGAAAUGAUGUUCAGAGUUCAGACAUACAAGAUUGUUGAUCCCCAUAGUAUUCUACUACUAGUGAUAAUAACUGGCAUAGCUUUAGCUAAAAAAAGAAUCACAUAGACUGUAGUGCUCAAACUAAACAACUUGAGUACAUAUUAUUUCAAGUUUUUUUUGUGUGUUCAGCGAUGUGAAAAACAAUUUAAAGGGUUAACACAGCAUCCGCAUUGGAUUGACUACAAUGAAUUGUUCUGCAACACCCCAUCCUUACUCACCUUGUGAAUUCCUAAAGCUUAAGAGUCAUUAGCUUUGCCUUCUGUCGUGAGGAACUUUCUCUUGCAGCCCACCUCAUGCCCUCAGUUCCUUUAGAGAUGCCAGUGAACACUGCAUGCCUUGCAGCAAGCACUUCGGUCAGUAUCAAGAGCAAAACAUAAUUAUAGCAUCAGAAUCAAAGGCAAAGCAUAAUUAUAGCAAACAGGUAAGUUUUUCAUGCACUAAUGAACUUCAUUGCCAGAUGAAAUAGAUAUUGUGGAACAUCCAUUUAGUAAGGUUCAUCAGUUUAAGUUUACUAGCUCAAUAUUAAUUUAACUAAUCCGAGCCAGAGGAAGGCAACAAAACUAAGUUAUGAUCACAAUUCACAAAGGCAGAUAUAGAAAUCCUGCACACAACAAAAGGUUGAGCUUGGAGGAAAACAAAGCUGCCAUGCCACCAAAAGGACUGCAAGUGACCUGUCAUCAUCAAGUUAAUUUACAAACACCGUAUGCAAAUUCAUAAACCUCAUCCUUAAAUAAAACGAACACCUACCCAAAUCUGUGUCAAAAAAACAAACACACCUACCCAAAUUCAGCCUAAAAAAAUGCAGGGAGUCAGGUGCCCUAUUUGCAUAUGGUCAUAUACGCUAGUGCGCCACACUGUGGCUUAGGAAUAAUCAAUACGUCAAGAGACUGAUGCACAUGGUUUGUGAUAGGCUACAGGAGACCAAAAAAAAAACUAUGUAGUUUGUUAAAGCAUUAAGUAAACAUCAAGUGAAUGUGCUAUAUGCCUAUUUCCACUCAAUUGUUUUCAGAAAAAGCUACAGGAACAAAAAGAGAUAAAAAAAAGACAAGUGCAAAACCACAACAUUGACAGCUUUCAAUCUGCUGUAUUUUACUUCAAAUGACAAACUAAAGGCAUGGAGUUCCUCAUGGCAGGCUUGUUGGUACUAUACUUAAGAACAUUGAAUGAUGAGUCAUACAGUCAAAUCCUUUUUAGAAUAACAUGGCCAAAAAUCCCAGCUCCAUUUAACUGAAGCUAUUACAGCAGUUUAAAUGUAGUCAAAUCUCCCGGUUUCGAAGUCUGGACUACACAGAGUCAACCACUUAAAUUUAUCACUACUCACUAGGGCACGUGCAAAAACGGAAUAUUCAAUAUAUCAGUUCCAAGAGGGCUUCCCAGUCAUGGAUUGAGUAUUGUCUCAAAUAAGAAGAAAUGUAAACCUGAAAGAUAGAUCCUGGGUAACGAUAAUAAGCAGUUAAACGAGAAGAAACAAGUUGCGUGAGUCAUCCUUUCUCACUUGCAUUACAAACUGAAAUCAAACAUUUUCAUUGCGCACGAUCACAUACUUUCUUCUUACUUCCACUCCCCACCAAAAAGGAUAAAAGAAAAAAAGAAGACUUAAAGUUCAAAGGACUAGCUCUGUAAGGUAGAAGCAGCUCAAUGGAUCGGUCUGAAUGGAUCACUGCAUUCCAGCUGGCUGCGCUAACCUCUUCCUAGCAAGAUCUGAAGAUAUGCAAAGAAUAGAACUCAUAACCAUAUAUAAUAGCUCAACAUGAACACCCAAAUAAGGCAUGCAAUACUUUUUGGGGAAGUAUAAAUGUAUAAUAGAUCAAGUCAUCAAGAUAUGCCUAGGCAAUUUAGCUAAUUUCAGGAACAUUUCGUAACAUGUACUAGAACCAAACAAAAAAUUGGGUAAGAACAACAGAGAUCUAUGUGAUAUGUGACAUUGAAUUUUGAUAUAUAUAUAUAUAUAUAUAUAUAUAUAUAUAUAUAUAUAUAUAUAUAUAUAUAUAUAUAUAAACACUGUUCUGAAGCACAGGGCAUAUAUGUGGUAACCCAUACUUUUUAAGCCACUAACUCAAACAAUGCCUAGUCUGAAUUUUUGAAAUUUCAACUAAGGCAAGCUGUACAAGAUCUAGGCUAUUACCUGAAGUGUAGAAGCUCAUGUAGGGAAUGACGGCAUAGUAGGGCCUGCUCUCACCAACCUUCUUCACUUGGCCUGAUUUGAGCUCAAUUGCAAACAAGUCAACAUCUGUCAACAUGAAAAUUAUAUCUGUGCCUUCUGCGAAACCAACCAGACCACCUGAGUAAAAGAAGUUAGGGAUCAGCAUGUCCAACUCAAUUAUCCUGGAUUGUUCCCAUUCCUCAAUGCCAUCAUAACACACAUACUGCGACCACAGUACGAGGCCGCAAGCUUCCACAGUAGCAAAUCACAGCCCACCAUAUUCUGAUUCUAUGAGGAUGCCACCAUCAUGCCCCAAUGGUGGGUCGAUCUCUGAAAGCUCAUGCUUGCCAAUGUCAUAUCCCAGAAUUUUCGUGCCAUACUCACAGUAGAAGUAGAGUGUGUUUUCGGCGAGGACGCUGGGCAACAUCUCAACAUAGGAAUCGAGCACAAUGGAGGCCUGCGAGCUCCACUCUCCAGUCUUCGACGAGUAUACACACGCCCAUGAGUGAUCAUGCCUUCCUGUGCCCACGAAGACGACGAGGAAGGGGCCUUGGUGACAGUCCAGAUGGUGGCAGUCGCUUGCAGCGCAUAGCACGGCGCCAGUGCAGUAGGCGUGCGGGUGCGGGGGCAGAGGAAAGCGAUGCUGGUCGCCGGUGAUGGGGUCCCAGACCAUGAGUUCCAUGGGAUUGAAGAGGUGGGAGAGGACCCGGCCGUGGCGGCAGUCGAGCGCCCACCACCAGUUGGGGGGAUCGAUGGCCGGUGGGGAGAAUGGCGACGCGGCGGUAGUGGGGACGAAGCGGGGGACGGAGGAGAUCGCCUUGUUGCCGUCAACGUUGUGGAGGAAGCCGAGCACGGGAGGUGUUCGGUGGAAUGCGCGGUAGCGGCGGAGGAAGGCGGGGUCGGUGAGGAUGCGACGCCAGGGCUUGCAGACGAGGGAGGCGUGGACGAGGUGCGCGGGUUCAUCCGGCGGGAUGCGGAGGAGGAUCUCGGCGGCGAUGUCGUCGAUCAACUCCGGCGCCGACGCCAUGCGGGAGGACGCGGCUCGCUCGCCGUCGCUGGAGCGAGGGUUUGGGUGGGAGAGGAGGAGGUGAACUCGGACUCGCGGCUACUUGGUGCGGUUCGACCGUCGCGGGAAGGGAGUCGCUGUCAAGUGGGGCCCACGAGGCAGUGAGAGUGAGACUCAUGGUUUGAAAGAACUACAGUUCUUCCAUUUUCAAGCGAGUAUCAAAUAUUCACAUGUUAAAAAUGGAUUCCCCAAAAUUACACCGAACUCAAAAAAAAACCCGAGAAGAUUAGUAUUCCCCAAAAUUAACUGUACGUCUGUACCGAUAAAUUAAUAAGUAUACCUUAAUUAAACAUGCAAAACAGUGAAUUUUUUUAAUAUAUCCGAACAAAUACAGGAAUAUACUCAUAUGUGACUGUGUUUGCAAUACAGAGAUACAACAGUACAUGGUGAUGUAAGAAAGUGGCUUUAAGCCUUUUACAUAAUUUAGACGAUAGGAGUAGCCGACUCAUUAGACCUUAGUUCUUACUCCCCGAGAGCAAAAGCAGUGGCAUCGAAGGUAUCAGAGAGCCCAGUUCCAGUCUUGAAGGUGACCUUCUCCGGCGAGGCAUCGGCGACGUAGACCUCGACGACGCUGAGCCAGAGCAGCAGCUCCUUGGUCUUCACGCCGGUGAUCUUCUUCAGCUUCCCCUUCUCGACGAACGCCGUGACCUCGCCGGCGUAGGAGACGGUCUGCUUGAUCUUCUUGAAGGUGUGCUCGAUCUUCUUCUUCCUCUGCACCAGCCACAUGAAUCCUGUUUCCUUGUUGUAGCCAAACUCCUCGAUGUCCUCCAAUGGCAGGAGGC